AUUUUCAUUAAAAAAAAAACGCCACAAACAUCUCCCUUUGCUUUCUUCAAUUCAAAUUACACCAAAUUAAGUUGUCAAAGCAAAAAUUUACCAAUGGUGUCGUUAAGUUCUCCAGUUCAAAUGCAAACUGCAUUGAUAUGCUAAGCAUGGAGCUCUGGAGAAGAUUCCCUCACCGGCUGCUUCUAAUCCGCAGCUUCGUUGACGCCAGGAUCAAGUGGGUUCGUGACCCAUACCUAGACAUUGCCGUCGAAAGAGAGAAACCUCAAAGAAAUCCUUUCCCUCAAAAACCAAAUCCUCUCCUCUCCCUCCAAAUCCCUCCAAAUCCCUCCCCCUUUCCUCUCUCUCCCCUCUCAAAUCCCACUUCAAUCUCCCCACCUCUACUUCCAAGCUCUUUCAAAACUACCCUUCCAUUUUCUCCCCCUUCCAACCCUCUCCCUCUCUUCCUCUCCACGUCAAGCUCACCCCUCAAGCUAUGACUCUGCACAAAGAGGAGCUAGCUAUUCACAACUCUCCCCCUCAUCGAAACGACGUCGUAAACAGGUUGGCUAAGCUCUUAAUGCUGACUAAAGCAGGCCUUACAUCUGCAGACUGUCUCCCAACUUUGCUCCAAGAGGAGGGAGAAGAAGGUGCCCUCUCGAUGACAACUAGGUUACGAUCAGCAAGCACGUCAAAAGGCUUUCCUGUAAACUAUUGUUCCGGUUUUCGUUCAGUAGGCACGGAAACAGCUUGCAAAGAGGAUGGAGUAUCACAUCAGAGUUUUAGGCUCGAGGUUAAUGCUAUAGACUAUGGUUUUGAACCAACUGAUACACCAAGAACUGAUAGAUCGGUAUCAAAGAAUAUAGAGCUGGGUUUGGCUGCUCUGCAUGGCCAAAAAGGGCCAGCAUAUGAUCUCAUCAUUUUAAAUGCCGGAAUUGUGGAUCAUUUACUGGGUUGUGAUGGUGCUGAAGACGUGACUAUAGCUCUCGAUAGGGCCAGGGAAGCCGUUGAUAGUGGACUGAGCAAUGCUUCCUUUAUAGAAGUUAGCAUCACAAUGUCAAAAGGAAGCGGACAAAUGCAAUUCAGGUAUGGAGACGUGCGAAGAAGUAAGGGAGAAAGCUGAAGAAGCACUGUCGGCUCAAAUGAAAUUAACAGCAAUGUGGGAAAUAAGAGCUCGUCAGAAAGGGUGGAGAGAAAAGGUCGCCAAAUCUAAUGCACAGACACAAGAAUCCCAACUGAUUGAAUCAUACCUUUGAAACAUGCGAGCUAUAAUUUACUGUGUAAGCUGAUGGAGUUACCAUAAUAUAGCUCUUUUAUGUUUUGACUGGUGGCAAAUGGAACAAGAAAAACCAACUACACUAGAUUGCAGUCCAAGAACAAUUUGCAGAAGGCACAUAAUGGUUGGCUCCUACCUCUACAAAUGCAUAUGGGAGGCAUUGCAGCAGCGAAUAAGAAUGAUAUUGAUCAACAUGCAGUUGACACCGUAUGUGCUCUAAAUCCGAAUUCAAGUGUGAGUUUCAGAUAUUUUAUGUGCAAUAAAGUAUUAGAGUGCCUUAUGUUUGUAUGUUAGUUAAGCAUAUUAUAGUUAGAACCUGCAGUAGGAUCAACUAAUUAGUUGAUCAAAAACUACACCCAGUUUUGUAAUAGUCUACUUGCAUAUUUGCAUAUAUUUAAUAAUAAUCUCAUGUCAACUAA